ACAGAUAAGAUGAUCUCUUCGGAGUGAAUCUUUGCUGACGAGUGGCGGACGGGUGAGUAAUGCUUGGGAAUCUGCCCAAUAGUGGGGGAAAACUCGGGGAAACCCGGGCUAAUACCGCAUAAUCUCUACGGAGGAAAGAGGGCCUCUACAUGUAAGCUCUCGCUAAUGGAUGAGCCCAAGUCAGAUUAGCUUGUUGGUAAGGUAAUGGCUUACCAAGGCUACGAUCUGUAGCUGGUCUGAGAGGACGACCAGCCACACUGGGACUGAGACACGGCCCAGACUCCUACGGGAGGCAGCAGUGGGGAAUAUUGCACAAUGGGCGCAAGCCUGAUGCAGCAAUGCCGCGUGUGUGAAGAAGGCUCUAGGGUUGUAAAGCACUUUCAAUAGAGAAGAAAAGCUUGAAAUUAAUACUUUCAAGCCUUGACGUAACCUAUACAAGAAGCACCGGCUAAUUCCGUGCCAGCAGCCGCGGUAAUACGGGAGGUGCGAGCGUUAAUCGGAAUUACUGGGCGUAAAGCGAGCGUACGCUG
rnacentral:rRNA from 1 species